GCCGACGUAGCCCAACGGCAGAGGCCGCACGCUUAGAACGUGCUCAGUGUCCGUUCGAAUCGGACCGUCGGUA
rnacentral:tRNA from 1 species